CCACUGCUUCUGUAGUCUGCUUCAUCGGAUCCCUCCGCCAGGUUUUAUAUGCUACUAAUAUACUACUUGGGACCAUGACAGGUGUACCCCCAAAUCCUGCUGCAGGGGCCCUCUUCAAAGUGAUCUACGCAGCACUGCCCUCCUUAUGCUCAGCCCCGGGCUCUGUUCAGGUUGCUGCUGCCCGCGCGCUGGGCUGCGCUUUGGGUGUGUGACUUCCGGAGAGCCCAAUGGCGGGGAGCGGGGGGGCGAUUACGACAGGCUCGAGCUCGGCACGAGCGCGGCCGGCGUGAGGAAUUGUGGUCUCCUCUCCCCGGGUCACCAGAAUCCCCACAGUCCUUGGAGAUGAAGAGCGCCGGAAGAUUGUGGCCUGGCCAUCCCUUACGUCAUGAAAGUGAUUUGUGCCACAUUGCUAAUUUGGUGCAAUCCAUAACCUUCUGAUCUCCUGUGUUUGUAAUUGCUUUUCAGCUUGCAGAAUAUGUUUUCUCUGACAUAGUUCUUGAAUAAAGAAAUUACUAUCGCUCACCUGUACGUAAGAAAUGAUCUUCCCCAAUGUUUGACUCUUUACCUUUUUCUAAUUAAAAAUGCACACUUUAGGGUCCUUUCAGAACAAAGCUUUGCCAAAUCCCCUUUACAUCUAAGGAUUUGAAAAUUUAUAAAGGCUGCAUUGAAUUCAGGAUGGGUCAAGGGGCAAAAAAAGGGUAGAAGGUCACUGCAUAUUGAUUGUGGGUCAGUAGACAACAUGGCAUGUAGUAUGUGUCCAAAACAUCCCCUUAAAAACUGUAUUUAAAAAACAAGAUUAUCAACAUCUGCUGUGUUAUUUUGUGAUUUUACUGAAUUCCAGAAAUUUCUGGUGUCUGUGAUACUUCCACAUGGGAAAAUAAACCUUACAAAAUGCUGAACAGAACUAUAUAUUGUUGCUUUGUUUACAUGGAAAUAACUCAGUUGUGAUGUUAUGUUUGAUAAAUUAUCAUGAUUUUUUUACUAUUAAUUGGCAAUUAAUUGGCCCAGGUUUUUGGGUAAUUUAGUUGUGCAUUCUUAUGUUUGACAUAUUAGAAUUUAUGGCAAAUUUUAAGCACUGAAGUUACCUUAGGUUGACUUUAAAAUAGAGAAGGACCCUAGUAUACAGUUCUUUGACCCUGUUACUGGAAUCUUUGUGAUAUCCUCUGUUUUCUGUUUGCAUCCCCUGUGAGCACAAUAUGCACAGUGUAUCUAAAACUGGUGAACAAGGUUAUUUCUCAUUUAAAUGAUCGAUUUCAGCAUAAAAACUGUGAAAAUAAAAGGUGUAUUUAAUGCUGUCAGUACCUGAAUAUUGGUCCAGUGCUUAAAAAUAAUACUAAAUAGUAAUAGAAAUACUCUAAUAAUGUGGCAAUCCUAGUAUGAAAAUGUACAUGAACCGGUAGGAAAAAGAAUUUGCUUCAUUAGUAAAACUACUGCUAAUUGAUGUUACAUUUCACAACUAAAGAUUUAAAGAAAGGUUUGUGCAUUACUUUGCUCAAAAAGGAAGAGGUCAGGCUGAAUUGUAAUAGUAUUUAAACACAAUCAUAUAAUGGAAAUAAAUCAAAACAUAAAAUAAAAAGGUAACUAAAAUUUUAUAUACAUUCUUUCUGAAGGAAUAUAAUUAAACAUUUUCUGCAAGCCUAUAUAUUUUAACAUCAUUUUUUCAAAAAUGAAAGUAAUCUAAGAUAAAUGGGAAAAUGUCUACUAUAUAUAUUAUGGACAUUAUUUUUCUCUUUAUUUUCUACUGGGUUGAUCCUUUGGCCAGACACCUUCAGAGCUGAAAUACUAUCUCUCUCUAGGAUGUAGAUCCCAUAUUGCAGGUUACUCAAAGUGAAAAGGAACACAUUUGAUUGAUAACGUGUGUAUUCACAACUAUAUAUUGUUGCAUGCACAUAUAGUUGGUAAAAUGGGCAUCCUUAGACCUUCUGUUCUGAAGAAAUGAGAGGCAAACAUCCAUCUUUUGAGUCGUGUUCAUCUUUGACUUUAAGUAAGGCUGAGGUGGUCAACAAAAUUACUAAAGAAAUAUACAUAUGUAUCUGCCUGCUCACACACACACAGGGAGAGAGUACAUUAUUACUUAGGUUUUAAUAUAAUUGACAACAGACACCUUUAAUUUUUCCUGUCCAUUCUUUCGGCUAGCUUUCACAUUAAUAAUCUAAACCAUAAAUGUUGGUAGCUAUUGAUCACAAUCCCCUGUGUGCGUGCAAAUCCAGUUUAAAAUCCCCUGCCUUUAUUGUGUAUGUGUGCCCCGGUAAGGUCCUCUACCAGCUCUUUAUAGUGAUCUACCCCCAAUGUGCCUGAAGAAGAUCCCAAUAUACAGCGUGUGCUGAUGGCCAUAAGAAAGCUGC